rnacentral:rRNA from 1 species
GAUGAACGCUAGCUACAGGCCUAACACAUGCAAGUCGAGGGACCGGCGCACGGGUGAGUAACACGUAUCCAACCUGCCCUUUACCCGGGGAUAGCCUUUCGAAAGAAAGAUUAAAACCCGAUAUAAAGGAUGGGGAUGCGUUCAAUUAGGUUGUUGGUGAGGUAACGGCUCACCAAGCCUUCGAUGGUUAGGGGUUCUGAGAGGGAGGUCCCCCACAUAGGGUCUGAGACACGGUCCGGACUCCUACGGGAGGCAGCAGUGAAGAAUAUUGGUCAAUGGGCGCUAGCCUGAAACAGGCAAGAGACGUGAAGGAUGAAGGCUUCUAGGUCGUAAACUUCUUUUAUAUAAGAAUAUGUAUUAUAUGAAUAAGGAUCGGCUAACUCCGUGCCAGCCGCCGCGGUAAUAC